rnacentral:rRNA from 1 species
GUGCCAGCAGCCGCGGUAACACGGACCGCACGAACGUUAUUCGGUAUCACUGGGCUUAAAGGGUGCGUAGGCGGCUUUGCAAGUUGGGUGUGAAAGCCCUCGGCUCAACCGAGGAAUUGCGCUCAAUACUGCCGAGCUCGAGAGAGACAGAGGUAAGCGGAACUAAUGGUGGAGCGGUGAAAUGCGUUGAUAUCAUUAGGAACACCGGUGGCGAAGGCGGCUUACUGGGUCUUUUCUGACGCUGAGGCACGAAAGCCAGGGGAGCGAACGGGAUUAGAAACCCUCGUAGUCC